GAGAAAGAGGAGAAGAGCGAACGGAGGAUGCCUAGGCUAUCCGGAGGCGAGGAAGGACGCGGAAAGCUGCGAAAAUUUACGGGGAGCUGCAAACAGGCUGUGAUCCGUGAGUGUCCGAAUGGGGCAACCCGGCAGGCUGAAGGCCUGUCACCGGCGAUUUGCCGGGGCGAACGCGGGGAACUGAAACAUCUCAGUACCCGCAGGAAGAGAAAGAAACAUCGAUAUCCUGAGUAGAGGCGAUCGAAAGGGGCAGAGCCUAAACCGUGCGGUUCAAGGACCGUGCGGGGUUGUAGGAGCGACCAAAGGAACAUGUCAAGGAACGCGAAGCGCAUGGAAAGGCGCCGCGCAGAGGGUGACACGCCCGUAGCGGCAACGAGGACAUGUCAGGGACGCCACCUGAGUAGGGCGGGGCACGAGGAAUCCUGUCCGAAUCCGCGGGGACCAUCCCGCAAGGCUAAACACUUCCGGAAGACCGAUAGUGGACCAGUACCGUGAGGGAAAGGUGGGAAGCACCCCGAACAGGGGAGUGAAAUAGAACCUGAAACCGUUCGUUUACAAGCGGUCGGAGCGCGGGAGCGCGACGGCGUGCCUUUUGCAUAAUGAGCCUACGAGUUGCUUCUGUCCGGCAAGGCUAAGUACCUGAGGUACGGAGCCGAAGCGAGAGCGAGUCUGAAGAGGGCGUAGAGUCGGAUGGAGCAGACGCGAAACCUAGUGAUCUACCCUUGUCCAGGGUGAAGUCGCCGUAACAGGCGAUGGAGGCCCGAACCAGUUUCCGUUGAAAAGGGCUUGGAUGAGGUGAGGGUAGGAGUGAAAGGCCAAUCAAACUGGGAGAUAGCUCGUACUCCCCGAAAUGUCUUUAGGGACAGCCUCGACGGUGUGUAUGUGAGGUAGAGAUACUGAUAGGACGAGGGGGCUUCGCCGCCUGCCGAGUCCUGCCAAACUCCGAAUGCGCAUACAUUAGACGUCGGGAGUGAGUCGGCGGGUGCUAAUAUCCGUCGGCGAGAGGGUAAGAGCCCAGACCUCCGGCCAAGGCCCCCAAGAGCAGUCUAAGUUGAGAGAGAACAAGGUGACACCGCAGAGACAGCUAGGAUGUUAGCUUGGAAGCAGCUAUUCAUUCAAAGAGUGCGUAACAGCUCACUAGUCGAGCGGAGCCGCGUGGAUGAUGAGCGGGCAUCAAGACUGCCGCCGAAGCCGAGGACGCGUAUUGAUACGCGUGGUAGGGGAGCAUUGAAACCAGCAGAGAAGGAAGGGCGGCGAGCCCUUCUGGAGCGGUUUGAAAAGAAAAUGUAGGCAUGAGUAACGAUAAGGGGAAUGGAAAUUCCCCCGCCGACAGCCCAAGGGUUCCUGAACAACGCUAAACGUAUCAGGGUAAGCCGGGAGCUAAGCCGAAGCCGAAAGGCGCAGGCGAUGCACAAGCGGUAAAGAUUCCGCUGCCGGCCAUGCAGGGUGACACGGGACCGAGGAGUGGUGCAGCCGCCGUCUGACGGAAUAGACGGUUGAACCGGGGUAGGGAGACCGAGCCGGGACAGUACGGAGAGCCUUCGGGCGAUCCGACAGCGCUGCAGAAUCAGACUCGCGAGAAAACCGUGGGACCGCCAAGAGCAUGGCCGCCCGUACCGUAAACCGACACAGGUGGGCGAGGAGAGUAUCCUAAGGCGCUCGAGUGAAUCACAGCUAAGGAACUAGGCAAAUUUACCCCGUAACUUCGGGAGAAGGGGACCCUGGGCGACCAGGGCGCAGAGAAAUGGCCCAGGCGACUGUUUACCAAAAACACAUGGCUAUGCGAAAUCGUUAAGAUGACGAAUAUGGCCUGACACCUGCCCGGUGCCGGAAGGUUAAGAGGGGGAGUCACCGCAAGGGAAGCUCUGAAUCGAAGCCCCGGUAAACGGCGGCCGUAACUAUAACGGUCCUA
rnacentral:ncRNA from 1 species